UCUAAUGCCCUUUUCAUUAUGCCC
rnacentral:siRNA from 1 species